AGUGAACGCUGGCGGUAGGCCUAACACAUGCAAGUCGAACGGCAGCACAGUAAGAGCUUGCUCUUACGGGUGGCGAGUGGCGGACGGGUGAGGAAUACAUCGGAAUCUACUUUUUCGUGGGGGAUAACGUAGGGAAACUUACGCUAAUACCGCAUACGACCUACGGGUGAAAGCAGGGGAUCUUCGGACCUUGCGCGAUUGAAUGAGCCGAUGUCGGAUUAGCUAGUUGGCGGGGUAAAGGCCCACCAAGGCGACGAUCCGUAGCUGGUCUGAGAGGAUGAUCAGCCACACUGGAGCUGAGACACGGUCCAGACUCCCACGGGAGGCAGCAGUGGGGAAUAUUGGACAAUGGGCGCAAGCCUGAUCCAGCCAUACCGCGUGGGUGAAGAAGGCCUUCGGGUUGUAAAGCCCUUUUGUUGGGAAAGAAAAGCAGCAGGUUAAUACCCCGCUGUUCUGACGGUACCCAAAGAAUAAGCACCGGCUAACUUCGUG
rnacentral:rRNA from 1 species